GAUGAACGCUGGCGGCGUGCCUAAUACAUGCAAGUCGAGCGAACAGACGAGGAGCUUGCUCCUCUGACGUUAGCGGCGGACGGGUGAGUAACACGUGGAUAACCUACCUAUAAGACUGGGAUAACUUCGGGAAACCGGAGCUAAUACCGGAUAAUAUAUUGAACCGCAUGGUUCAAUAGUGAAAGACGGUUUUGCUGUCACUUAUAGAUGGAUCCGCGCCGCAUUAGCUAGUUGGUAAGGGAACGGCUUACCAAGGCGACGAUGCGUAGCCGACCUGAGAGGGUGAUCGGCCACACUGGAACUGAGACACGGUCCAGACUCCUACGGGAGGCAGCAGUAGGGAAUCUUCCGCAAUGGGCGAAAGCCUGACGGAGCAACGCCGCGUGAGUGAUGAAGGUCUUCGGAUCGUAAAACUCUGUUAUUAGGGAAGAACAAAUGUGUAAGUAACUAUGCACGUCUUGACGGUACCUAAUCAGAAAGCCACGGCUAACUACGUG
rnacentral:rRNA from 1 species